UACGAAGGGGGCGAGCGUUGUUCGGAAUUAUUGGGCGUAAAGGGCGCGUAGGCGGCGACUCUAGUCAGAUGUGAAAGUCCUGGGCUUAACCUGGGGACUGCAUUUGAUACUGGGUUGCUUGAAUUCGGGAGAGGAUAGCGGAAUUCCCAGUGUAGAGGUGAAAUUCGUAGAUAUUGGGAAGAACACCGGUGGCGAAGGCAGCUCGCUGGGACGUAACUGACGCUGAUGCGCGAAAGCGUGGGGAGCAAACAGG
rnacentral:rRNA from 1 species